rnacentral:rRNA from 1 species
UACGUAGGGUGCGAGCGUUGUCCGGAAUUAUUGGGCGUAAAGAGCUCGUAGGCGGUGUGUCACGUCGUUCGUGAAAACCUGCAGCUUAACUGUGGGCGUGCGGUCGAUACGGGCAUGACUGGAGUUCGGCAGGGGAGACUGGAAUUCCUGGUGUAGCGGUGGAAUGCGCAGAUAUCAGGAGGAACACCGGUGGCGAAGGCGGGUCUCUGGGCAGUAACUGACGCUGAGGAGCGAAAGCGUGGGGAGCGAACAGG